GCAGGGGAGAAAAGACGCCGGUCCGCCGGGGACCAGGAGGGAGACGUGAAACCAGAGGCCCGGGGGCCCCCUCUCCGCCUGUGCGACUUGUAGUCUCGUACCAGACGCGUCCGCUUCACUGCUGAAUCUGAAAACGUGGGCUCUUGAGAGCUGCCCUUGGAAGGAGCUGUGCUUUCUGCCUCAUCUUUAACUUUUCGUUUAUUCAGCAAAUAUGUAUCAAGUUCCGACUUCGUGGAAGAGAUUGUGUUAGACACUGGGAGUAAUAGAAACAUAAUUAAGAAGCAGGGGUCCCGGACCUGAAGGGCCUGAGCGUCGGUUCUGAAGGCUGAGAAGUUCAAGAGCAAGUGCUGGCAUCUGAUGAGGGCCUUCUUGCUGUAUCAUCCUACGGUGGAAGGGUUUCACUGUAUCUCCCAGGCUGGAAUAUAGUGGAGAUCAUGGCUCACUGCAACCUUGACCUCCUGGGCUCAAGCGGUCUUCACACCUCAGCCUCCCCAGUAGCUGAUCCUACAGGUUCUUUCAAACUGGGAAAGCUCAUUAAAAGAAAAAUGAGAAAAUCUAUUGGCUGGAUCCUGAACCCUUGGAAGCUCUGUCUGGAUACAUUCUUCUCUGGCAGGAUGCUCUAUGUGGCUCUUUCCAUGUGUAGUUUCCAAUGAAACAGGAAGGACUCUAAUUGAGUGCCUGCCCACAUCUCUACAGCUCCACACCUUCCACUAAGGGCACAAUAAGACCUCCACUGUGAGAGGCUCCACAGUGUACUACGUUGGUGAUGGAGUCUUGCUAUGUUGCCCAGGCUGGUCUUGAAUUCAUGAGCUCAAGUGACCCUCCCACCUCAGCCUCCUGAGUAGCUGGGAUUAUGAGCACACACCAUCGUGCCUGGCCAAUGGUUCACAAUCUUGAUUUUCGUAAUGGCUUCAUAGGUGUAUACAUAGGCUGAAAUUUAUCAGGUUGUAUACUUAAAAAAUGCGAAUUUCCCACAUGUUAAUCAUAUCUCAAUAAAGCUGUUCCCCUUACUUAGAUUCUUGCAAUAAUACACUGGCCUUGUGGCCAACUGCAGAAAAGAAUGGCCACUGUGUCUUUUCUUUCCUAUAUCCAAGCCCCUUCCAUGUAGCUGAGGGCCCUUUCACCUUGGGCUCACCCAUGAUUGCACUGGCUGAUGGGGUGUAGGCAAACCCAAUACAAUGGUACCCUCCAGCAAUGUGUGAACAGGCCUAACCUGGAUGGCUGGGGAAUGAGACAUUGAGUGAAGAACAAUAAACCCCAUCCUACCUAGAAACUGACUGCAGAAGCCAGUCAAGAGAACUCUCAGGCCAAGCACAGCCUAAAAUGUCAAGCAACAAACCCUAAAUAAAUGGUGGUGGGGUGUUGUUGUUGUUUGAGAGGCAGGGUUUUGCCAUGUUGCCCAGGCUGGUCUUGAACUCCUAGACUCAAGUGAUCCUCACGCCUGGCCUCCAAAAAUGGUGGGAUUAUAGGCAUGAGCCACUGAGCCCAGUCUGGUGGUUGUUUUAAACUACUAUGUUUGGGGUGGCUAUGAA
rnacentral:lncRNA from 1 species